rnacentral:rRNA from 1 species
GUUGUAUGGUUAAGUGACUAAGCGUACACGGUGGAUGCCUGGGCAGUCAGAGGCGAUGAAGGACGUACUAACUUGCGAUAAGCGCAGAUAAGGCAGUAAGAGCCGUUUGAGUCUGCGAUUUCCGAAUGGGGAAACCCAACUGCAUAAGCAGUUACUGUUAACUGAAUACAUAGGUUAACAGAGCAAACCGGGGGAACUGAAACAUCUAAGUACCCCGAGGAGAAGAAAUCAACCGAGAUUCCGGUAGUAGCGGCGAGCGAACCUGGAUUAGCCCUUAAGCACUCGGUGAAGUAGGUGAACAAGCUGGAAAGCUUGGCGAUACAGGGUGAUAGCCCCGUAACCGACGCUUCAUCGAGCGUGAAAUCGAGUAGGGCGGGACACGUGAUAUCCUGUCUGAAUAUGGGGGGACCA